ensembl:lncRNA
CAGCGAGCCAAUCACUGAUAAAGUUAAUGAGUGACAUUAUAAUUUUAACAUCCUGAAACACAUUUAGAUUUGGGCUCGCGCUCUCGUCAGGGCGAGUCUUUAACAACAUAACAUGAGCGGCCACCUGCAGUGUCCUUCCAAGAAGACCCGACCCGAACUCGGACCCCUCGCUCCCUACAGGCCACGUGAGUAAACCAGCCCCAGGGUCGCGGUGAUUGAUGACUUCAACCAGGGCCAGGCUGCAACCACAAACACACAUUACUCACCCCCCAAAGAUAAGCAAUUGGUGCGCAAGCCGGCAAAUGGCCCUAAGUGCUCCACAAACACAGGUCGGAGCAGCAGCAGCAGCAGAUGAAAGAUGCAUCCAUUGCCGUCCUGUGCUCCAACUGCCCCCCUCCAUCCAUCACAAUCAACGCCAGCAGCCGGCCCAAUUAGGGCCCCGGAACACUCAGGGCCACGGCCUGAUUAUUAACACUGUGAAAACACUGAGUGGAGAAGGGCUGGGGAGAAGGGGAGGUGGGGGGGGGGGCUGUGGGGCGAUGACGGAAUGCUGAGAGCUUCAGGGGAGUUUGGGGAGAAGGAGGUCAGAUAGCUGGCGGCCCCAUUUCCUCUCCUAAUGGCCUCCAAACGAGGGAAUAUGGGAGAAUGUUGCCCAGUAAAGCAGGUGACCCGGAAGAAAGGGGGGCAGCCACACCCACCUCCCAGCCCUCAUUUGACUCGGACAAUACACACACAACCACAUCUGCACACAAGCCAUUAAAAUAAGGAGAUGGAUGGUCAUGCAUGAGCAUAAUUAUGCAUUCAAAGGGCGUAAAACGUUCACCGGAGGGAAAGCCAUGAACACAAAUGAUGGGGAAAUGCAGCCAAGGCGAGGUUGUUCCUGAACAGAAUCAUUAAUGUAACACACGCGCAAAAAUCAUGCAGCGUCAUUUCCAAGAAAUAACCCCCACCACCACUAAUCACUAAU